rnacentral:rRNA from 1 species
AUGCAAGUCGAACGAGUUUUCCGCUUCGGUGGAUUGCUAGUGGCGCACGGGUGAGUAACGCGUGGGAACCUGCCCUGUGGUACGGAAUAACUCCGGGAAACUGGAGCUAAUACCGUAUGCGUCCUGCGGGACAAAGAUUUAUCGCCAUGGGAGGGGCCCGCGUCUGAUUAGCUAGUUGGUGAGGUAAUGGCUCACCAAGGCGACGAUCAGUAGCUGGUCUGAGAGGAUGAUCAGCCACACUGGGACUGAGACACGGCCCAGACUCC